rnacentral:rRNA from 1 species
UACGUAGGGUGCGAGCGUUGUCCGGAAUUAUUGGGCGUAAAGGGCUCGUAGGCGGUUUGUCGCGUCGGGCGUGAAAACACCGGGCUUAACUCGGUGCUUGCUUUCGAUACGGGCAGACUAGAGGUAUGCAGGGGAGAACGGAAUUCCUGGUGUAGCGGUGAAAUGCGCAGAUAUCAGGAGGAACACCGGUGGCGAAGGCGGUUCUCUAGUACGGUACUGACGCUGAGACGCGAAAGCGUGGGGAGCGAACAGG